GUCAGCUCGUGUCGUGAGAUGUUGGGUUAAGUCCCGCAACGAGCGCAACCCCUUAUCUUCUAGUACGCCUACGACGGUUAAGUUGGGGCCCGGGUACCUACCUACGUGGGAAGAACGUACUCGGUACCGAAACGGGGAAGUAAACCGUGGGGAAGGUAAGGUACGGGGUAUAAGUACCGUACAAAUCUAUCCCUAUGGACCCCCUUAGUCGGUACCAGGGACUACGACUACGUAGUCGUACCAAGUACGGAACCGUAAGUAACGGACGGACGUCGGACGACCGGCGAGGACCGUAAUACUAACUUAACCGUAACCUACGUACUCCAGUUUCGGAUUGUAGGUCUGACGAACCUCGACCUACAGUCGAAAGUCGUAGUAACGUCGUAGUCGUAGGUACGGCGUAAGGCCGAACGAACGAGGGUACGUACGGUAGGUAACUCGGCGUAUGUCACNCGCCAGNGACGUGCAGAGUUGGAACUGAAGUACUCGAACGGGACCGNGACGAGUCGGUCGUACGUACGUAAGUGUAGGUUAAUACGACGACGUACGCGAAAGUACCUACUAGGUCUAAGACAGCCGUAGCGUCGUAGAGUAGUAGGUAGUUAGUACGUACGCGACGACGUCGACGUAGUGUAGUAUAGUGUGUGUACGUGUG
rnacentral:rRNA from 1 species